UCGCAAAUCAAUGCUUUUGGAAAAUACUGUAAAAAGUUCCAAUGCAAAUGUCAAUACCUACCUAUCCAUAGAGGUUUUCAAAGAUACGUGUGUAAAAAAACUAAGCAGCAGCUAAUUUCACGACAUUCUGUGAAAAGACUUCAAGUAUUCUCUCCUGUCUCACAAGCUCUCACUCCCGAAUGUGUCCGAUUCAUAAGUGCGGACUUUUCACCGCCUCCCCCGCCGCGGGCAAUUUUCUGUCCCGGUCCUGUUCCCUUCUUUCCAGCUGAUUCAGUGAAUGACCUCGGGGGCAACCCCGAGGCCGCCAGGCCAGCCCUGUGGGACCCCCUGCCCUGCCCUGGAGACCUCCGGCUCGCCGGCGCGAGAGCCUGGCCGCGCCGGACGCGCCCGGGGAGGAGCCGGCCGAGGGCCCGGGCUGUCCCGGCAGUCGAGGCUGGGCUGGCAGGGAGCCCGGAGCCCGGAGGAGGCGGGCUACUCCCCCGCCACGUCCGGAGCAGACUCAGGCAGUGCAACCCCAAGGACAUUGGGAGGGGGAGCCGCGGCGCGCGCAGGGCCGGCCUGGAAGCGGCCGCCGGGGCCGGGGCGUGGAGGGGGCGGCGCCGCGCAGCCUGGAGCCCGUGGGCCCCGAGGCGUGGCCCCGCGACCCUGCGUGGUUCGGGGCGGGUGGAGACAGGACGCUUCUACCUUUCUCAGUCACCCCAGCCUCUGCCGGCUGCAGCUCAGCUUCCAAGUCUAAGAGCUCAAAGAGCUGCUCCGGGCGGGGGGGAAGGAGCCCUGGUGCAGGAGUGCGCGCCGAGCCGCCAGCCACCAUCGAAGAGGGAGCGAGGCGAGGCCGUCCGGGUUCGUAGGAAGCCGGCGCUGUCAGCCCUCCAGCCGCCCGGGUCCCAAGUCGCAUCCACAGCACGCCUCGGGCCAGCUUCUCGGAGCAGACUUGGCGGGAUCCGCCAGGUGCAGGUGCGGGCAGCGUGCAGCUGUCUCUGCCCAGGGCUGCGCCGGGAGCCGCGG
rnacentral:lncRNA from 1 species